rnacentral:snRNA from 13 species
UAACGUUUUUGUCGCAUUACUCAACAGAAUUUGGUGUAGGCUCGCCCUGGCACUCUGGCGGGUUGAAUCCUGCGACGAUCCCUAAUCGGGUUCGCUCGGGCGCGUAGUUUUUGCCAGUGGGAAGGUCUUCAGACCAUCCCUU